rnacentral:rRNA from 1 species
AGACCCGAAACCCGGUGAUCUAGCCAUGGGCAGGUUGAAGGUUGGGUAACACUAACUGGAGGACCGAACCGACUAAUGUUGAAAAAUUAGCGGAUGACCUGUGGCUGGGGGUGAAAGGCCAAUCAAACCGGGAGAUAGCUGGUUCUCCCCGAAAGCUAUUUAGGUAGCGCCUCGUGAACUCAUCUCCGGGGGUAGAGCACUGUUUCGGCUAGGGGGCCAUCCCGGCUUACCAACCCGAUGCAAACUGCGAAUACCGGAGAAUGUUAUCACGGGAGACACACGGCGGGUGCUAACGUCCGUCGUGAAGAGGGAAACAACCCAGACCGCCAGCUAAGGUCCCAAAGUCAUGGUUAAGUGGGAAACGAUGUGGGAAGGCCCAGACAGCCAGGAUGUUG